CAUUGUAGAGGUCCCGCUGGCCUUCAAGACACAGUUUGGCAGGAAGAAGUCUUUAGCCAAGCCUUCAUGAAUUAGCAAGUUGGGAGCUGAAGCCAACCGGGGACGGACCAGACCCACCCCUCCCUUCGGACACUCCCGCAAGGAGCCUGGGGCCUGCCAUAGCAGAGAGGUGAUGUCAUCGGAGUUCGGCCGACGGAAUUCCUUCCCAGCAGAAUCCACUUUAGCAGGUCUCUUUCCCCCUACAAGUGGAAAAGCGUCUAUUUAUGGAUUUGAGAUUACAAAAGAUAUGUUUCAUAUUCGAAGGAGUCUGGGUUUCUGUCCACAAAAUGAUCUUUUGUUUGAUUAUUUAACAGUAUUUGAACACCUUUACUUUUUUGCCCAGGUGGUGAUGUUAGAUGAGCCAACCACUGGAAUGGAUCUGGUCUCAAGGAGAGCCACCUGGGAUCUCCUUCAGCAGAAAAAAAAAUGGCCGUACCAUCCUGAUUACCACUCAUUAUAUGGAUGAAGCAGAUCUUCUGGGUGACCGGGUUGCCAUCAUGGCCAAAGGGGACUUGCAGUGCUGUGGCUCUUCAUUGUUCCUCAAGCAAAAAUAUGGUGCAGGAUACCACAUGGUCAUAGUGAAAGAACCAUAUUGUAAAGCUGGAGAAAUUGCCUGUCUUAUAUAUCAUUAUGUACCAAGUGCCAUUUUGGAGAACAAUAUUGGAGCUGAAUUAUCAUUUAUUUUACCUAAAGAGUACGUAAAUAGGUUUGAAACUUUGUUCGCUGAGCUGGAAAAUCAUGGAGUAAAGCUGGGCAUUGCCAGUUUUGGUGCUUCUAUCACAACCAUGGAAGAAGUCUUCCUUAACCAUAAACAGUCCAUCAUAGUGUGAAAACCCUUGGUGUGACAACCCUUCAGAUGUCUAAAGAUUUGUCAGUGAAUCAGCUACUGCCCCCCAUAUAACCCCUUGCUGGAACACUUAACAGGGUAUGAGAUGCUGGCCUUGCAUGCCUAUUUGAGAGGAGUUCCCAAGCAAUAUAUUCCUGCUUAUGUUAAAAACAUACUAAGAGCACUUCUCCUGGAUGCCUUUGCAGAUGAACUCAUCAAAAACUACAGUGGUGGCACCAAGCAUAAGCUAAGUACAGGUAUUGCCCUGCUGGGAAGGCCUGACAUCAUCUUCCUCAAUAAGCCAUCUUCUGGCAUGGAUCCUGUGGCCCGACGCUUCUUCUGGGACACAGUCUUAUGGACCCGUGAGUCCAGCAAGGGUAUUGUCCUAAUCUCCCAUAGGUGUGGCCCAUAUCUUGAUUGAGGGAUGGAGAGGAGGGGAGUACCAUGGAGACUUGGUUGAUUCUAAGAACAUAGGACAGUAAUGACUUUGCCAGGGUCUUUUGAUACCUCAGAGAAUUUACAGUAAAUGACUCUUUCCAGAGGAAACAUUUGAGGAUCCUUGGAUGAGAUCUUUGCAAUAGUAUGUCCAAAAGUAGGGAAGUAGAAAUAGGUUGAGACUGACUAUACUAUAGAUUUAAGCUUCUGACACUUGGUUCUUGUUUUUAUUUUAUCUAUACAGAAUAUAUCUGAUCCCUUAUUUACUUUCUUUUUGAAUACCAAUAAUACUAGAACAUAGUCCUUUAGAAUCUUAGUCUUUACCCUGCCAUGGUGGGCCUCUCCAGCCCUAUCUUUUUCUGGCUCCUUGUAUGGAAGAAUGUGAGGCCCUGUGUUUGAGACUGGCCAUUAUGGUAAAUGGGAAGUUCAAGUGCCUAGGCAGUCCACAGUAUUUCAAGAACAAGUAUGGAAGUGGAUACACUGUACUAGCCAAAACCAAGAGAGAUAAGCAGACAGAAAUGCAAGAGCUCAAGACAUUCAUCAAAACAACCUUUCCAGGUACUGGAGCUCAGGCACAACCUUCCUAAUCAAGCUUCUGUUGAGACACAGAGUUCCCAAGCUUUCCACCCCAAUGAUGUAGAAAUAAGACCCUCAGCAACCCCUCUGUCAUUAAGCAAUUACAGUGCUUUCUUCUCUUUGUGACUCCAUAACCACAAAAUAAUUAUUAAUGUACUAACUGUUGAUUUCAGUUUUUAAUAUCUCCCUGUGCCAGUCACAGUGGAAC